GACGAACGCUGGCGGCGUGCUUAACACAUGCAAGUCGAACGAAAAGGCCAUGCUCUUGUGGCGUGCUCGAGUGGCGAACGGGUGAGUAACACGCGUGUAACAUGCCCUUGACUUUGGGAUAACUUCAGGAAAAUGGGGCUCAUACCGGAUAGGAGCUCUUGCUGCAUGGUGGGGGUUGGAAAGUUUCGGCGGUUGGGGAUGGACUCGCGGGUUAUCAGCUUGUUGGUGGGGUAGUGGCUUACCAAGGCUGUGACGGGUAGCCGGCCUGAGAGGGUGACCGGGCACAUUGGGACUGAGGUACGGACCAGUCUCCUACGGGACGCAGUAGUGGGGAAUAUUGCACAAUGGGCGGAAGCCAGAUGCAGCAACGCCGCGUGCGGGAUGACGUCCUUCGGGUUGUAAACCGCUUUCGCCUGUGACGAAGCGUGAGUGACGGUAAUGGGUAAAGAAGCACCGGCUAACUACGUG
rnacentral:rRNA from 1 species